GUACCACUUCCGGUUAAGAAAGGUGAGAGGGCAUAGGCCUGCUUUCCAGAUGGAGUGAGUUAUAGUCUACUGUCACAGAGUCGCUGUGCAUGACCACCCGACAACGUUCUGUGUCGCGAAACAGGGGUUUUAAAGACGAGGCACAUGUCAGCUUGACCAUGAGUAGAGGAAAAGACGCCGCGAUGGUGCGGAACCCUCGGAGGGAUAAGUCUGAAGUCAGCUGCUGUAUCAAAUAUUUGAUGUUUGGAUUCAAUGUUUUGUUUUGGUUGAUCGGAGCGACAGUGUUGGCCAUCGGACUGUGGGCAUGGACGGAAAAAGACAUGUUCAACAAUAUCAACAAAAUGACCAACAUCACCCUUGACCCCGCACUAUUCUUCAUCCUGAUCGGUCUGGUCAUAUUUAUCAUCGGGUUCUCCGGCUGUGUCGGCGCUCUCAGGGAAAACACAUGUCUGCUCACUUUUUUCUGUGUGUUGGUGGGCCUGAUAUUCUGUGUGGAGCUGUUGAUUGGGAUCCUGGGGUUUGUCUACAAAGACUGGGUUCGGGGUGAGAUAGAAAUGCAGGUGAGGACCAUGAUUGUGAACUACCGUGAGGAUAUUGAUCUCCAGAACCUGAUCGACUGGGUACAGGAGGACUGGUUGUUGUGUUGUGGAAUGACCGACUACAGAGACUGGGAACGUAACCGAUACUUCAACUGUUCGUCCCCGGGGGCCGAGGCUUGUGGAGUACCAUUUUCCUGUUGUAAGCCUACAGAUGAAGUUAUACAGAAUCGACACUGUGGCUUUGAUAUUGCCAAACCGACACAUGAUAACAUCAGGAGUCAGACAAUAUAUACAGACGGCUGUAUACCUCAGGGCGAGAAGUGGAUGGAACUGAAUCUCAUCCCUGUAGCCUCAGUACUGGUCGGCAUGGCUGUCCUACAGAUACUGGGGAUUUGUUUUGCUCACAACCUCAAAAGUGAUAUAUUGGCACAGAAGGCCAAAUGGAGAUAUCCUUAGCAGCAGAAUCAGGGGUCAAACAGCGAGUACAAUGUCAAGGAUAAAUUCAAUGACAGAAGACAACAGUGUUAAGGAGACAUCACAAUUUCAAGGACACACCACUAUAUACAGAAAAGAAUGUCAAGGACACACCACUAUAUACAGAAAAUAAUGUCAAGGACACACCACUAUAUACAGAAAAUAAUGUCAAGGACACACCACUAUAUACAGAAGACAAUGUCAAGGACACACCACUAUUUACAGAAGACAAUGUAAAGAACACACCACUAUUUACAGAAAAUAAUGAAAGGACACACCACUAUAUACAGGAAAUAAUGUCAAGGACACAUACUAUUUACAGGAAAUAAUGUCAAGGACACACCACUAUUUACAGGAAAUAAUGUCAAGGAUACACCACUAUUUACCGAAAAUAAUGUCAAGGACACACCACUAUUUACAGGAAAUAAUGUCAAGGACACACCACUAUUUACAGGAAAUAAUGUCAAGGACACACCACUAUAUGCAGAAGGACAACACAUUAUUGCUGACAGAAAGCAGAGUCAAGGACAUGACAUUGCUUUAAUACAGAAAACCAUGUCAAGGUCAAACUGGUUUGUUUACAGAAAAAAACAUAGUCAAGGACACAUCACAAUUAACAGAAACAAUGUCAAGGUUACACUGACUUGUUUACAGAAAAACAAUGUCAAGGACACACAUAUCUAUUAACAAAAUCAAUGUCAAGGUCACACUGACUUGUUUACAGAAAAACAAUGUCAAGGACACACAACUAUUAACAAAAUCAAUGUCAAGGUCACAUAGAACUGGUUACAGAAUACAAUGUCAAGAACAUGUCACUGCUAACAACGACUUUCUGGAUAUUCUCGCAAAACAAUAUGAUGUUUUGUCCUGAUUAUAUCACAGGAUACUGUACAAUGUGUAUGGCACUGUUAACAUGUUUUGUUUGAACUCAUGACAAAGAAAUCAAUUUUAUUGUACAUAUUUAUAUGAAUGAUAUUUUUGAUGUUGUGAUUGCAAAGGAUGCUUAAGCUACGUGAAUGUAUCAAGUGAUUUUUGUUUUGUUUUAUGCACAAAGUAAAUAACAGGUUGUAUUUGUGUGACAACACUUGGCCGUUUUUCUAUAUAUGUACAUACCUUUAUACUUUUGAAAUAAGACUGUAGGGCGAGUAACCUACAGAACUGAAACAUUCAUCACACUCUUGUCCAUCCAUCAUGGCUGAAACUGAGGCAAUGAUGAUUUAAACGUUAAAAAUUGAUUGUAGAGGAAACACAUAGUUUUUGUUUAUAUAACUUCUUGAAUAAUUAUGUAUCAAAAUUUAUAUAAGAUUUUUAUUUAUCUUGCCAUUUUAAAGACUGCUCUGUAUUCAAGUACAUCUAAUUUGUCAAAUUGAUCUUUCUAUACCUGGUGAUGUGUAUUGGAAAUCUUUACUGAAAGUUUUUAUUAGAAUCUUAAAUUUUAGAAAGUCUUUUACAUUAUUUUUGCUAAUAAACUAUCUUUUUAAAGAAAAUCUUUCACUGGUGAUCACCAUAGCAACAGUGUUGUGAAACAGUAACUAUUGGAUCACCAUAGCAACAAUGUUGUGAAACAGUUUACAAUGGGAUCACCGUGACAACAGUGUUAUGAAACAGUUACCUUGGCAUCACCCUGGCAACAGUGUUGUGAUACAGUAACCAUGGGAUCACCAUAGCAACAGCGAUAGGAAAUCAUUACCAUGACAUCCCCAUAGCAACGAUGUUGUGAAAUCGUUACAUGUGAUCACCAUUGCAACAUUGUUGGGAAACACCAUGGCAACUGUUGUGAAACUGAGCUGUUACCAUUGGAUCACCAUAACAAGGUGUUGUGAGUUACCAUGAGAUAUU
rnacentral:misc_RNA from 1 species